UUUAAUGGCUGCAGUAAUUUGACUGUACAAAGGUAACAUAAUCAAUAGUUUUUUAAUUAAAAGCUUGUAUGAAAGGUUGGACGAAAUAAAAACUGUCUUUAGUUAAUAGAAUUAGAAUUUCAUUUUUGAAUUAAAAUGUUUAAAUUUAUAUAAAAGACAAGAAAACCCUAUAGAGUUUAAUAAUUUCUGUAAUAUAAUUAAUUUUGAUAUUUAAAUUUUAUAUUAUUAAAAUUAUUUUAUUGGGGGUAAUAUAAUUCUUUUUAAUUUUAUUUUAUUAAUUUAUAUAAACUUGAUCCAUAAUUUAUGAUUAAAAGAUAAAAUUACCUUAGGGAUAACAGUGUAAUUUUUUUAGAGAGUUUAUAUUGAUAAAAACGUUUGGGACCUCGAUGUAGGAUUAAGAAUUAAUUUAGGAGCAAAAGUUUAAAUUUUUGGUUUGUUCGACCAUUGAAUUCUUACAUGACUGGGUUCAGACCCGUAUAAACCAGGUCGGUUUCUAUCUUUAUAAAAUAAAGAUAUUUUAGUACGAAAGGACCAAAUAUAUGUUAUAAUAAUUUAAGUUUGAUUAUCAAUAGAUUAUUUUGGCAGAUUAGUGCAAUAAAUUUAGAUUUCAUUAAUGUAAUUAUAUUACAAAUAAUACUUGUAUAUUAUUGAUUUAUUAUUAAUUUUUAUUUCUAUGUUAUUCUUAGUAAUUUGUGUAUUAGUGAG
rnacentral:rRNA from 1 species